UACGGAGGGGGCUAGCGUUGUCCGGAAUCAUUGGGCGUAAAGAGCUCGUAGGUGGCCUGUCGCGUCGGCUGUGAAAACUCGGGGCUCAACUCCGAGCUUGCAGUCGAUACGGGCAGGCUAGAGUUCGGCAGGGGAGACUGGAAUUCCUGGUGUAGCGGUGAAAUGCGCAGAUAUCAGGAGGAACACCGGUGGCGAAGGCGGGUCUCUGGGCCGAUACUGACGCUGAGGUGCGAAAGCGUGGGGAGCAAACAGG
rnacentral:rRNA from 1 species